GCCCCCUGGCAAUGGGCAAAGAGACACCUUGGUGGUGAUCUUCUUUUAUCAGUCAGGGGGAAAGCAGACAGACAGUCCUUUGUUCAUCCUAGCUUGAUGCCUGGGUUGGUGGCCAGAGCUGUUUCAUGCCUGGGGCACAUAA
rnacentral:snoRNA from 1 species